ACUACGAGAAGACCAAGGAUCACAAUCAAAAUAGUUACGUGGUUUGAAACCAGAUGGCUCCAACACUCCAUUAUAGUCCCCACAUCUACCAUACCCCCAGUUCCUUCUUCUAGUAGAUUGCCCACCUUGUGUUUGUAUAAACUACCCAUAAAGGACUCCACUUUUCAGGCAUUCUCUUUGCUGCUCUUACUGUGAGUUUCAUUUUGUUUUGCAAUGGCUGUAGCAACUUUUUCUUGUGGGUGCAUUUCUCGGAGUUUCUCCAAUUCUAAGUUGAUUGGGAGACGACCCAAUUUCAGUCAUGGUAUUCUCGGAGGUCCUUCCUCACUAGGUCCACUUCAAACAACAUAUAGUGUUUCAAAGAGGUUGGCAUUGUGUUCAAGUUCAAUCAUUCCAAAAGCAUCAUCAGCCACUGUUGAGAAUGAAAGCUCACAAGGGACUGCUGAAGUUCCCAUACCUAAAGUCAUAAUAGAUUUGGAUUCCGAUCCUGAUGCAACGGUAGUAGAGAUCACAUUUGGGGAUCGUCUUGGGACUCUUCUAGAUACAAUGAGUGCACUGAAGAAUCUUGGGCUUAAUGUUGUUAAGGCAAAUGUCUAUCUUGAUUCCUCUGGAAAGCACAACAAGUUUGCCAUCACCAACGCAUCUACAGGUAGAAAAGUGAAGGAUCCAGAGUUGUUGGAAGCAAUUCGCUUGACAAUUAUUAACAAUAUGCUCGCAUACCAUCCAGAAUCAAGUUCUCAGUUAGCUAUGGGGGAAGCUUUUGGUGUUUCUCAACCAAAUCAGAAGAUCGAUGUAGACAUAGCAACCCACAUUCACGUCUACAAUGAUGGUCCUGAAUGGAGUUUACUCUGUGUAGAGACAGCAGACAGGCCUGGAUUAAUAGUUGAUCUUGUAAAGAACAUUACUGACAUAAACAUUGACGUCGAAUCAGGGGAGUUUGACACCGAGGGAUUGUUGGCUAAAGCAAAAUUUCAUGUCAGUUACAAGGGCAAAGCUCUUAUCAGGCCCCUUCAACAGGUUCUUGAAAAUAGUUUGCGGUAUUUUUUGAGGAGACCAACCACAGAAGAUGCUAGUUUUUGAUACUAUAAGUCGCUGUCUGCAGAAGAUAAUGACAGAAAAAGACGACCAUAAGACUUGUUGAACCUGCAUCUUUAUACUCAUCAACAAUUGGCAGGUACUGAGCCAGGGCCAAAUAACCACCAGAAUAGUUCGUGUCGUAGCCGAGAGAAUGUUCAUGCAAGUCCCUAGCAUAGGAGUCUUCAAUGGCAUUGUAACGAUUGUCGUAUCCCUGCCGAGUAUAAGGAGGAGAAGGAGAUGCAUAUCUGUCAUAGUUGUUAUAGCAAGUCAUUCGUGGAUCCCUAAAGGUGACUCGCUUAAGUUGUGCAUGUUUUCCUGAUUUCGAUAGUGCCCUUAACAGAGCAUUGGGUUCCACUUCACCAGCUACCUUUUGCGAUCCCUUGUUCAGCAUCAAUAUAAUUGUAACAGAAUACACUCCUUCACAAUAGUAAUUUAAAGUAUUUACUUUGAUUUCUGAUA